CCAUGUUUCACCUAUGCUGUUCAGUCAGAUGAAGUGAUACGAGGUGGAAGGAGCUGUGUGACUAUAAAACACCACAUUUAAAAAACUGACACACCCAAUACAGGUCUAGUCCAAAAUGGGUACUUAUACUGUUUACCACCAGUGUACUAGUCUCACAACAGUAAGUUUUUACUAAUGCUAGGGAGGUCACCAAUUUUUCAAUACCGACGCAACAUCAGGAGAG